CUGAUCGAGGAUGUGCUGGCGGCUAUCUGACGUAUGUGCACUCCUUAACCUCACACACCUGUGCACCAUUGUAGUCUAGCAUCAAAGGGAGCUUAGGUUCUCUGCUGGACUAUGUUUUACACACUCUUAUUAAUGUAUAGAAUGUACCAUGACCGUAACAAGUCAUAUAAAUUUAAUA
rnacentral:misc_RNA from 1 species